GUGCUUUCAAGGUCUUUCUGUUGUUGGGAUGGAUGUUGUAAUUGGGUUUGGAAUUCUUUUUCCAGGCUGAAAGGAUUUUGAGGUGCUUCAUUUAUGUUGAAAAUAUUGCUUGGAACAUACUCUUAUUUCACGUGCGUUUCUUUUCCAAAUCCGUUCUUGUUGGGUAAGGUAUUGAUCCAUCAUCAUCACACAUCAACUUCAUCAUCACUGAUUUAUAAUCAACUUUUUCUAAUCCAAUUCUGCACGGAAUAGAUCCAUAAUCAACUUGUUUAACUUAUUAGGUUCUGAAAUUCCACAUCCAUUAAAAUCAUCCUAACAUGAGAUUUGGUCCAUUAUCUGUUUCUGAUCAACAAAGUAACUACUAUCAAUUAGGAGUCCCAUUAAAUUCAUCUGGAUUUCAAUCAAUCAAUCACACUUUACUUUUAG
rnacentral:misc_RNA from 1 species